rnacentral:lncRNA from 1 species
GCCACAAAAAGAACUCAUUUAAUAAUCAAUAUCCAACCAAGACUAAGAACAAUUUCUAUAUAUGCAUCCAUGAUUAGCAAGUUUCUUUAUAUGCAUCCAUGAUUUACACGCUUUAUAAAAAGUAGACAACUCUAUAGGAAUUUAAUAUCACAUUCAGAUGCAUAAAUGCUAAAACUUAAGCCAAAACACAAAAACGUUGAAGAUGAAAACUUAAGAAAACAAUGAACGUAUUCAGAAAUAGAAGCGAUCAAAAAAAUGGUCACACAUUUUCAUGCUUGUAAUCUCAAUCUCGGUCUCGUCUCAUAUCUUCCUCCCUGGACAAAAAAUUCAAAUGGCAUGGAUGAAAAAUGUCAUUAAUCUGCAGAUCUGUGGAACCCAUGGAAGAAAACACAUAUUUCUAAUGACUUUCAUAAAAUCUAUAAUAAGUCUCUCCUUACAUCCAAAUAUCAAUGUGUUUUUGAUGAGUUUUAAGAUAUACAUCUCUGUAAAUGUCUUGGCUUGUUGCAUAUAUAUGAACACUAAAAUAAAAUAGAUAAUUCAGUUGUGACUUGUUACUACAUUGAUUUUUCCCAAUAAGCAUUUUAGUUCCAGAUAUGUGUAUAGAUCAACAACCAAACCACCCACAAAGAAAUACGGAGAAACGUAGAAAAUUGAAACUAUAACCUACUAACAGAUUAACAAAGGAAGAAAGACUAACUUUUUUACAUAUUAUGCAUCAGAAUAAGGGCAGUGAUGCUUGUCACCAAAUGAACAAAUAUUCCUUAAUUAACACAACAAAAAUCACCUUUACAUACAACCACUCAGACACAUAAGACCUCAAAUACCCAACCAUGUACAUCCACAUACAUAUAGCAACAACACACUUAAAUCAAGAGGGGCAGUUUGGUAACUUUCCAUUGGUUUCUUGAUAAUUGAAUGCCACCUCAACUUACCUGCAGUUUUUCGGUCAUGGCCAUCAUCGGUUUGGUGGAUUCGUCUGGAAUAAAUGAAAUACGAAACCAAAACACCAAAAAACAAAAUGAAAGCAGAUACAAAUCAAAUAAGAAAUCUAAUACCAAAAUGGAAAGCAAAUAAAACCCGAAUGGUGAAGAUCGUCGUUAAGGAAAAGCAGUCGUGAUGUCAUGGUCGUCGAUAAGGAAAAAAAUCAACAAUCGUUUAAUCUUUACCGAAAACGAAGAGACAGAGAAUGUAUCAGAGAGAUCGUAAGGUGUGGGAGUCUGUAAUAAAAGUAAACGGAGACAUACCUCGGUGGUGGGAUCCUGAAUACAUGGUAUCUAGGGUUUAUGGUGACUACUAGUUUCUAGAGGUGGAGGCCGGUGCUAGGCUGUGCUGGUGAAGAGAUGGAAGCUCGAUUGUAGCGGCGGUGGCAGAGGUAAACAAUGGAGGCGGUGAUUAGGGUUGUCGAGAGAACCGGGAAGGGGAGUCGAGGAACAUAUUUUUUAUUUUCAAAUUUAAAUUGAUUAUGCGCUAGUGUUUUUUGUGUUAUAAACAGGGAGCAUGGCUCAUUGGUUUGUGGUAUUAGAUCAACGGCCGAAUGACACCCCAAGUUGGCAAUCCGUGUCAAAUUAUUGACCCGUCCUUUUUUUCAAUGCUUCCCAACAUUAUGCAAAAUAGAGAUUGACUGUAAAUUAUGUAAAGUAGGAGGAUAGAAGCUUUGUAAUAGUACGGUAAAUGUGAGGGAAGG